GCUCAGAUUGAACGCUGGCGGCAUGCUUUACACAUGCAAGUCGAACGGUAACGGGCCGCAAGGUGCUGACGAGUGGCGAACGGGUGAGUAAUGCAUCGGAACGUGCCCAGUCGUGGGGGAUAACGCAGCGAAAGCUGCGCUAAUACCGCAUACGAUCUAUGGAUGAAAGCGGGGGACCGUAAGGCCUCGCGCGAUUGGAGCGGCCGAUGUCAGAUUAGGUAGUUGGUGGGGUAAAGGCUCACCAAGCCAACGAUCUGUAGCUGGUCUGAGAGGACGACCAGCCACACUGGGACUGAGACACGGCCCAGACUCCUACGGGAGGCAGCAGUGGGGAAUUUUGGACAAUGGGCGCAAGCCUGAUCCAGCAAUGCCGCGUGCAGGAAGAAGGCCUUCGGGUUGUAAACUGCUUUUGUACGGAACGAAACGGUCUGGGUUAAUACCUCGGGCUAAUGACGGUACCGUAAGAAUAAGCACCGGCUAACUACGUGCCAGCAGCCGCGGUAAUACGUAGGGUGCAAGCGUUAAUCGGAAUUACUGGGCGUAAAGCGUGCGCAGGCGGUUUUGUAAGACAGGCGUGAAAUCCCCGGGCUCAACCUGGGAAUGGCGCUUGUGACUGCAAAGCUGGAGUGCGGCAGAGGGGGAUGGAAUUCCGCGUGUAGCAGUG
rnacentral:rRNA from 1 species